rnacentral:tRNA from 2 species
GGGCCUAUAGCUCAGUGGUAGAGCCACCGGCUCAUAACCGGUUGGUCGCUGGUUCGAACCCAGCUGGGCCCA